AGAGCCAGGAGCGCAGAGCAGGGGGAAGGGAAGAGGAGGGGAGGGGGAUACCCGCGAGGGAGGGCCGAGGAACCCCGGCCCUGGCCUGGUCUAGCGAGUCCCCCCUCCUCCCCGGGAGCAGCCGGUGAAGCUCCGGUGGAGGAAGCGAGGAGGAGACCCAGGAGGAGGAUGCCGCUGCCGCUGCCGCCGCCGCCGCCGCUGCAGGGCCCAGGGCUCCUGUAGGGCACGAGGCCUCCCACAUCAGGGUCCCUCCCACCCGCCCUCCUGGGAGUGCAGAGACUCCGUCCGGAUGGAGGUGGGGAAGCCAGUCCCGCCAAGGAACCGGAGUUCGCGGCGCAGAGGGGAGGAGCGUGACCCCCAGGCUCACCCCUGGGGUCGCAGGACCCGGCGAGCGGAGAUCCACGCGGCCAGCGUCACCCACCCGAGCCUGGCGACGGGCGCGUCCAGGCGAGCUCCGCGGGGCCGAGGUGCCAGGAGAAGCAGCCCCGGGCGCCCGCGCGCUGCCCGCCGAGGGGUACCAGAAAUGCCGCGCCUCGGGGUCGAAGUCAUAAAGUUACUAAUCCCGCGCAGGGGGAGCAAGCGUGCCUCGGGCCGCCUGGGGCGGUCAUUUGAGCGUGUUUACUUAAGGACUUUGCAAGCGGAGCGCGCGCGAAAUAGUCGGAUUUCCAGCGAGGCAGCAAAUAUUUGCAGGCGGGAGAAAGAAGCGGAGCCGGGCCGCGCCGUUAAAGACAGAAAUGAAGCCGGAACCUGCGGGGCUGGGGGCGGGGAGGGCACAGAGCGACAGCAAAGGCCAGAAAUUGGAGCGCGGCCCCGAGGCCCUUGCGAGCCGGGGCUGGAGGAGGAGAAAUCCCUCCCCAUUCCAGCUCGAUCAAUCUUCCUUGGCUGCGAUCGCUCAAUAAAAAUGGUGUGAACCGGCCGCGGUCGCUGUGCGUCUGGGGAGGAAGUAGAGGCCAGAGGUGCCGAGGCCGGCGCCGGCACCCCGCACCAGCCCGGUUCGCGGCCGGGCGGUCUGCAAGCCUUAGGCGGCCGGGAGCCGAGGGCGGCCCGGGGGGCCUUUAAUUGGUUGUCUCCAUUUUAAUAGUGGCCAUUGUUGGAGCAAUUAGCGAGAGACAAUAACCGCCAAGAGGCGUUUAAUUCGAUUCGGUGCCCCGGUUGCGGCCGGGACAAGGGCGCUCUGGAAGCAUAGGCUGGCUUGGGAGGGAAGAUCGAGUUAAGCGCCGGCUCCCUUGCUCGCCAGUUUUGUCUUAGGUGUGGGAGUUAUACUGGGGCAAGUUAAAAGCGGAGCGAGAGCUACCAGGUCCUGCUCCUGGACAGAGGAAACCCGUCCUGGGCCUCGCUAGCCCCGCAAGGCGCCCCCGGGGCCGCCGCGCCUGCUGGCAGCACGCGCCUAAACUGCGGCCAUUGCGCGCGUCCCCAGUGCCUGCUGGAGGGAAAAAAGCAGAGAGGACAGGGACGUGGAAAUCGAUCUCCUUCCUCUCGAGCCCCGGGACUGCACCUCGAUCACCCGAACCGCGUCCCAAUUUCUUUCCCCAUCGGAGGAGGUGGGGCAAAGGAGAGAACGCUCUUCUGGCGCGUGCACACCUCCCUCUCCACCGAGCCAGUCAGUACCCCCACCUCUGCCUGGGCCCUCGGAUUAGGUUACCGUGGCCGGGCGAGGAUUUUUACUGGAUACGAGAAUAGCGCAGUCCCCACCCGAGCCCCCGUCUCUUUCCCGCAUGAGCUGAAAUGAAGAGAAGGAAGCGAAACCAAAAGGUGAUGAGAAAGAAGCCGGCGUUCGGCAGUGCUCGCUGCUCUCUUAAAAUGAAACAGUGGACGUGGGGGAACGCAGAGAAAAGAGGGCCCCCCGAAACUCACUGGCAAAGGGAAGAUUCUGGAGGUGGAAACGUCAAAGGGGAAGCCCGCGGGAACUCAGGCGAAAAGAGCUCGGCACGCGCGCCUCUCUUCCCGGCUCCCACGCCUACCAGCCCCUGGCCUGGGGUCUCCCUGCCCUGGGAAAUGAGCCAUCGCUUUGGGGGUGGUAUGUGGUUUGAUUUACCUUCCCCCCUCCCUUAUUCAUCUAUCACUGUUUAAAACUCGGAAGGAAACCCUCCCGGGCCUGGAGGGGCAGCGAGAGAUGGGGAGUCAGAGACAAGAGAUGCGCUCCGAGAUUACCCCCUCCCGCCCCGCCCCCACCGCCAGCCUGGGACCUCCAGCUUCAAGCGAUCCUGGCCCUCCCUCUGCCGCUUCCCCCCUUCUCCCCGGUUGAGAAAAACCCUGAUGGUAUCGAGAUAAAAAUUGGGUAGGUAGGGGUGUAGCGGGAAGGAGGAGAGAGAGGGAGAAGACAGGGGAUUUCUGCUUUCGGGUUUAAUAGGGCCCCUGUCAAGGGGCCUUGGCAAAGGGGGGAGCCCCGCGGUUGGGUAGGAAAGAACGAUUCCCCCUUGAGGGUGAGUCGAAAGGAAUGCCAGGCGCCCUGGAGGAAGAUGCACCUCCCAGCUCUCCCUCCCUCGUGGUCUGGGGGACAGGUGAGAGGCACAAGAGGAGAGGAAGCGAUGGAGGCGGCGCUCCAGCGGGUCCGCGCGGUGCCUCCCGGCCCCAGGCCGCUUAUCUGGCCCCCAGCGGCACCGCCGACUCUCAGGAAGGCGCUCUCCUCCCCGGGGGUCCUCAGGCGGCACCGCCGAAGCGUCUGGGACUCCCAGGGAAGGGAGCGGCCACCGCAGCCAGGAAAGUGGUCAGAAGUACGAGGUCAACCGUGUGAACUCCAGGUCCUAGCAUUUUUUGGGGCGAAGAGGGGUGCACGUGGGGCGCCUGCUCCACUCCCCGUAGCCUCGCGGGGCUCCUGGCUUGUCGCCCGCCGCCUCGCCGCCUCCCAGCUCAGAGCCCCCAGCUCCGAGCCCCGAGCGCUCGCUUCAGCCCUUCAGGCGACUCGCCUCGGGUCACUUCAGUGUGGCAUUUCAGGAGCCGGAGGGCUUUAACUGGGGGCUAUUGUGUUUUUACUUCUCUUGAUAAGCCGGAAAACUGGGGUGUGAUGGUUGCUGGACAAUGGACCGCGGGCUUCAAGGGAACAGGGAGUUCACAACAGGGAGAGGGGCAAUGAGAGAGGGUCGUUUCGUUCAGAUCAGGAGACAGUAGCGGCGAGGUUCUAAAAGCACGAAUUGUCAUUUGUUCCUUUGGACACGCUGGAGACCCGAUGGGGAAAUCUGCGCUUCUGCCCGCCUCAAAGGUGUCAAGAAGCCACCUUCCCGCGGGCCCCCUCCGCCUCUCCAUCCCUCCAGGACUGCGCCCUGCCGGCCGUCUCUCCCCGCCAGGCCCCGGCUCGCGCUCGGCUCGCCGCCGCCUGCCACCUCGUGGAGCCCAAGCAAUUUGUUACAUAAAACAAAACAGCAGCCACACACAUGUGCCUGCAGACCCGCAGCGACGGACACCCAGGGAGACCUCCGCUCAAGCGCCUCGGGCCCCGUGUUUCUUUCUGUCCAUCUAAGGGCCGCAUCCACCGCCACCACCUCUGGUCGCAUCUGCCCGGCGACCAGAAGCUAAGGCAGUUCGGACUCGCGCUCCCGGGCUUGCUGGCCCACUCGCGGCGUUGCCAACCCUCUCUCCGCUGACUCCGACCGUUGAGAAAAAGAGGGGAUCAGAAAUAUUUGGUGCGCGCACAAAGACGUACCACGAAAGGCAUGCACAUUUCUGUGUGAAAUGGCUCAGAUGCGAGAAUGAGACACCGCCUCAGUGCAGCCAGCCCAGAAAUGGUUAGAAUAACCUGGUGCUGGAGAACACUGGGCUUCCGAACUCUGCCCCCAUACAUCUUAUCAGGACCCCGAAUUCCCUGCCACCUCCCAUGUUCCCCGACACAAGCUGCCUUAACCUCCAGGAGAGGGAUUCUCAGCCACCCGGCUCCCACGUACCUGCCCCCUCCCCAGGCUCUCUGUGUCACUCUGGGCUGGGGGGCUCCCAAAAGAGGCUCCACCACUGAGUGUCCAGGGGCAGCUACUCCCAUCUCUUCACUGCACCCCGACUUACCCCACCUCGUGUAACACCUGGAAAUAUCAAAUAAAGGAAAAUGCAGUGUCCCCUGUCUCCAGACUUUUCGCAGGACAGACUAACCCCAACCCUGAGUCCCCCAGGGUUGACAGAGAUAUCUUGUGUAGAAUGGAGGGUGGGCCUGUGGGAUGCAGGGGCUUGUAUGCUGAGUGCCACACACCCACAUCAUCGAACUCAGCUGGCUCCUCAAGCCAGGAACCUUAGGCCUCUCAAGGUGACUGGCUGGAAGCUGGAAGCUGGACUCCCUGCCUGAUCCCACUCCGGAAUCGAUAAUGGGAGCCCAUGGGACCCAACACCCACCUGGGUCUUGGUCUGUCUGACCUGGACCCCAUACCCCAGCCCAGGUUCAAAUGGACAGACCACAAUUCCUGUCCUCAGAACCACACAGCUGUU
ensembl:lncRNA